rnacentral:rRNA from 1 species
AAAUUGAAGAGUUUGAUCAUGGCUCAGAUUGAACGCUGGCGGCAGGCCUAACACAUGCAAGUCGAACGGUAACAGGAAGCAGCUUGCUGCUUCGCUGACGAGUGGCGGACGGGUGAGUAAUGUCUGGGAAACUGCCUGAUGGAGGGGGAUAACUACUGGAAACGGUGGCUAAUACCGCAUAACGUCGCAAGACCAAAGAGGGGGACCUUUGGGCCUCUUGCCAUCAGAUGUGCCCAGAUGGGAUUAGCUUGUUGGUGAGGUAACGGCUCACCAAGGCGACGAUCCCUAGCUGGUCUGAGAGGAUGACCAGCCACACUGGAACUGAGACACGGUCCAGACUCCUACGGGAGGCAGCAGUGGGGAAUAUUGCACAAUGGGCGCAAGCCUGAUGCAGCCAUGCCGCGUGUAUGAAGAAGGCCUUCGGGUUGUAAAGUACUUUCAGCGGGGAGGAAGGUGUUGUGGUUAAUAACCGCAGCAAUUGACGUUACCCGCAGAAGAAGCACCGGCUAACUCCGUGCCAGCAGCCGCGGUAAUACGGAGGGUGCAAGCGUUAAUCGGAAUUACU